UUCAGCCAGGAAAGGUGGAAAUUGGAGAGAAGAGGGUACAGAAACAGGGAGCCCCGAAACUCAUGGGGGGGUCCAGCCCCACCCAGAAUGAUGAGCCAGAAUUUUGUGGCUUAGAGGAUGCUUUUGCUCCAGUGUCAUGAUAAUCAAGCAGGGAUUAUAACUUCUCCCACUCCGUCUUAGCCAUGUUCUCAUAUCCUCCAGGAAGGGAACCAACAAAGAGCCAGUGGAGUCCUUCAGAAGAUAUACAUGAUCAGGCUCUCCAGGGCUGGUCACCAUCACCUGGCAAAUUGCAGAAAUUGUUGCAGUUGCCAGAGUACAGUGUGUUUAGAGGUGCACAAACCUUCGAGAGCAACUUUUUCCAGGUGACCAAAGAAGGCCAAUUCAUUAACAUCCACAAACAUCCCAAUGUAGUCACCAUAGGUAUUUUAGCCAGCAGCCCCAAGUUGCUCCUUCCUGAUCUGAUGAUUAUCGCCCGGGAAAAACAAGAAACAACGAAUAAAAUGCCAAGGUCUAGAGCAUUAGAGAUCACUCGGUUGAUCCCACUGGAGCUGGUGGAGAUUUUUGUUCACGACGUGAGCAAACGGCAGCUGAAAAUGCAGCUGCCCACAGGGGACAAGUAUUACCUGCAACUCUCUGCCAGGGAAGAGAAGGCGGAUUUCCUCUUUGAGUGCUGGGUGCGCCUGGUUUACCUGAUACGCCUGGCCACUGGCAAGAGCAAGAUUCCCGAAAAUCUCCCUGGGAAGAAACUUGAGAGGCCCCCUUCUAGAGAGCACAUUCAGCAUUCGAGUCCUAAAGCGAAGAAGCUGUCUGUAGAUAAGGAGUCACCAAAGAUUCAGCCCAAGUUACAGGAGCGGUUUUCUCCCAAAAGAACUUCUGAGGGCUUCACAUCCAGGGCAUCUGAGCUAAUUUCAGCAGCAGAUCGGCUGAAGAGAGUCAGAGAGGCCAAUUUUGAGAAAAAGAAGCGCCUUUCAUCCAAAAUCUCAUCUGAAUCUAAUCCCAUCCCAAUCACACUUCAAAAAAGCAAAAAAGAAAUAUGUUUGUUACAAAAGACCAAAAUGGCAUCCCCGCUACAAAAAAGCCCUCAGGCCAUGAGGAAUGAGCAUCCUGCUACUAGAGCAAGGGAGAGCAAUCCUGGCCCAUCAAGGUCUCCUGGACCUCCAUCCCAGAGCCAGUCGCCAAAACAGAAUCAACCUGCAUCCAGAGUUGAACCAAGAGCAAAUUCUACGUUGGUGGAAACUGGUCCAUCUCAGGCUGUCCAAAGGAAAUCAAAAGUAGAAUCUGAGAAAGAAAGCAUUCCAGUUAAUCAUCUAGCAAAUCAGAGCCAGAACAGUAAAACUAGUAAAUAUUCAGGGAACCCAAGCAUGAUUCUGGGGAAUAAGCCACAGGCUUUUUCAAACAUUUCCCCGGAAAAGGGACAUCUCGCUUCUCAGAAUGACACUGGGCAGCAAGUUCACAGAGUCACAAUGUCAGUAGGAGUGGAGACUUCUCAAGUCAUCUGCAAAACAGUGGCUGUGGGGCCCUCUGAAACAGAUGAUCCAAAUUUGAGCAAACUUCCCAAUCAAUUACUGAGUGCAAAUAAAACUCACAAAGAGCAAAAUAAGACCAUAGGAAAAAAGGAAAUGAGCAGAAGGCAGGUACCUUUGGCCAAGAACAAAGUGAAAACAGCAAUAAACACAGCUAAAGAAAAAAGCAGCAUUAAAUUUGUAACCCUCUAUAGCAUCCUGUCCACUUCAUUGGAGAGACUGAAGAAAUCAAGCAAGGACGGUACCAAGACGUCCAAGCAUGUCACAAUCUCCGGGGUGAUUGCCAAAUCAAGAAAAAGUAUUGUGCUGCAAGAGGAGAAGACCGGCAAGACUUUAGGAGCCAGCACCCACAACACUGUAGGGCUUGUCUCCAAUGAAGCUGCUUGUGUGAUGGUGAAGAAAGAUUUUCUUCCAUCCUCCCAGCCUCAAAAAUCACUGAGCAAAGAAGCUGUUAAGUUCCAGACUUCUUCAGCUAGAGAGAACUUUUUGGAAACAGCUGAAGCCAAAAAAUUAGGCCAUCCAGUUGUGGCCAAGGAGCCUGGUGUAACAAGCAUCAUUUCCCAGAAUACAGCAGACUUGAACAGGAGGCUCUCAGAGAUUAUGCCCUCUUCCUAAAUCCUGUUGCGGUGGUUGUAAGAUGUAGAAAUCAAGACUAUGACGGUGGAUGCUCUACAGACUUCCAACAGUGAACCUUGUACUGUAUAAAGAUCUCAUUCUUCUUACUCCAAGUCCUAAAACUUAAAAGGAUUGUAAUCUGAGGUUGGAUAAAAGUUAUGCCUCUUCCAAAUGGCAAAUUUUACUGGAUUAGAACAAGAAUAUGGAAAUCUUUGCAAAGAAAUUGUGCUGCUUUUAAGUGGUUGGAAGAAAAACUUGAGAAGGGAAGAGACUUACUCUGUCCAGUCCGCUGACAGAUUAAAAAAAAAAGGAGCAUUGAUUUUGUAUGUUUAUGUGCAUGUGUGUCUGUCUAGUGUCUGUUUUUAUAACUAGAACCUUUAUUACAUCUUUGGUGAAGCUCAUAAAAAGAGAUCAGUCAAGAAGAAAGUGAGAACAAUUGCACUUUUUUUACAGCUCCUGUUUAUUUUAAUCCUGGAUG